UACGUAGGGGGCAAGCGUUGUCCGGAAUCAUUGGGCGUAAAGCGCGUGUAGGCGGCUCGGUAAGUCCGCUCUGAAAGUCCAGGGCUCAACCCUGGGAUGCGGGUGGAUACUGCCGGGCUCGAGUCCGGAAGAGGCGAGUGGAAUUCCCGGUGUAGCGGUGGAAUGCGCAGAUAUCAGGAGGAACACCAAUAGCGAAGGCAGCUCGCUGGGACGUUACUGACACUAAGGCGCGAAAGCGUGGGGAGCGAACAGG
rnacentral:rRNA from 1 species